UAUCUACAUUAUGUAUCUUAUAUACAAAAUACAGCAGAGAGCGCUAAUCUUUACAAUACGGUUUUUUAAAUAUUUAUAAUUUAUUGUAUUUAGGACGCAAUAUUAUUAUUGAAUUAGAAAUUGGUUUAAACAAUGAAACUAUUUUAACACUUUUAUUACACGUGAGCCUUAUAACUUCAACUAUAGUAAAACUUUACAUUUAUGUCACUUUAUGUCAUAAUAUUUUCAAAAAUAAAAGGACGUUGUGAUGUUUGCCUAACCCAACCAAACCCUGCGGAUAGGGUAUAAGAAUACUUCCACGGCCCCUCUGCCGGUCAUAAGAGGCGACUAAUGAAGUUUCGUCAGGUUGGGUUAAAGUUUAACCCAACUGGAGUAGUUUUGUAAAAAAGUAUAAGAAGUCUUGAACAAAACUUAGGUGGAUUGUCCCAUCUCGGAUGUACACGGGGACAACAGUUGAAAACAUUAAGCACUAAAUUGAGAAAAUUUCCCUCAUUCCUCAUAAAUGGAAGAAAUCUCCAAAAAAAUGAAAAAUAAAAAAGGUUGAUGUGGGAGAUCGUGUCAAGAUGAUGUUUAGA